AGAGUUUGAUCAUGGCUCAGGACGAACGCUGGCGGCGUGCUUAACACAUGCAAGUCAAGGAGAAAGCCCCGCUUGCGGGGUGAUUAAACUGGCGCACGGGUGAGGAAUAUAUAAGUAAUCUACCCAUGGGUUCGGGAUAACGUCGAGAAAUCGGCGCUAAUACCAAAUGACAUAAUUUUAUCGCAUGAUAGAAUUAUUAAAGUUCACGAAACGCCCAUGGAUGAGCUUGUAUCUGAUUAGUUUGUUGGUAAGGUAACGGCUUACCAAGACUACGAUCAGUAGCUGGUCUGAGAGGAUGAUCAGCCACAUUGGAACUGAGACACGGUCCAGACUCCUACGGGAGGCAGCAGUGAGGAAUAUUGGGCAAUGGGCGAAAGCCUGACCCAGCAACGCCGCGUGGAGGAUGAAUGUCGUAAGAUUGUAAACUCCUUUUGGAGGGGACGAAAAAACAGGUUGGAAGCCUGAA
rnacentral:rRNA from 1 species